rnacentral:rRNA from 1 species
GACGAACGCUGGCGGCGUGCUUAACACAUGCAAGUCGUACGGUAAGGCCCUUUCGGGGGUACACGAGUGGCGCACGGGUGAGUAACACGUGAGUAACCUGCCCACAACUUUGGGAUAACGCUAGGAAACUGGUGCUAAUACUGGAUAUGUGCUCCUGCUGAAUGGUGGGGGUUGGAAAGCUCCGGCGGUUGUGGAUGGACCCGCGGCCCAUCAGCUUGUUGGUGGGGUAGUGGCCUACCAAGGCGGCGACGGGAAGCCGGCCUGAGAGGGUGAACCGCCACAUUGAGACUGAGACACGGCCCAGACACCUACGAAAGGCAGCAGUGGAGAUUAUUGCACAAGUGACGCAAGCCCGGUACAACAACGACGCAUACAGGAUGACGGCCUUCGGUUUGAAAACAAGUUUCAACAAGGACGAGGAUUUUUAUUACGGUACCUGCAGAAAAAGCAACGGGUAACUCGGUG